rnacentral:rRNA from 1 species
AGUGAACGCUGGCGGUAGGCCUAACACAUGCAAGUCGAACGGCAGCACAGAGGAGCUUGCUCCUUGGGUGGCGAGUGGCGGACGGGUGAGGAAUACAUCGGAAUCUACUCUGUCGUGGGGGAUAACGUAGGGAAACUUACGCUAAUACCGCAUACGACCUACGGGUGAAAGCAGGGGACCUUCGGGCCUUGCGCGAUUGAAUGAGCCGAUGUCGGAUUAGCUAGUUGGCGGGGUAAAGGCCCACCAAGGCGACGAUCCGUAGCUGGUCUGAGAGGAUGAGCAGCAACACUGGAACUGAGACACGGUCCAGACUCCGACGGGAGUCAGCAGUGGGGAAUAUUGGACAAUGGGCGCAAGCCUGAUCCAGCCAUACCGCGUGGGUGAAGAAGGCCUUCGGGUUGUAAAGCCCUUUUGUUGGGAAAGAAAUCCAGCUGGCUAAUACCCGGUUGGGAUGACGGUACCCAAAGAAUAAGCACCGGCUAACUUCGUGCCAGCAGCCGCCGUAA